CUCGGAAGCUAAGCAGGUCGGGCCUGGUUAGUAUCUUGGAUGGGAGACCACCUGGGAAUCCCGGGUGCUCUAGGC
rnacentral:rRNA from 1 species